UACGUAGGGUGCGAGCGUUGUCCGGAAUUACUGGGCGUAAAGAGCUCGUAGGUGGUUUGUCGCGUUGUUCGUGAAAACUCACGGCUUAACUGUGAGCGUGCGGGCGAUACGGGCAGACUAGAGUACUGCAGGGGAGACUGGAAUUCCCGGUGUAGCGGUGGAAUGCGCAGAUAUCAGGAGGAACACCGGUGGCGAAGGCGGGUCUCUGGGCAGUAACUGACGCUGAGGAGCGAAAGCGUGGGGAGCGAACAGG
rnacentral:rRNA from 1 species